AACCGCGUAGCUCAGUUGGCAGAGCAUUGGGCUAGUAUUCCAAAGGUCGUAGGUUCGAUUCCCACCGUGGACA